AUGCUUGGAAAGCUACAGAUGUCUAUUCUUUGGAGCAUUUCGUGGAUUGUUCAUAUCAUUUUUUUGGAAGCAGUUAUGGCCGUUUUAACACUAAAAGGUUCACAAAAGGCUGAGCAGUUUGUAACUGCAAUGAACGCAAUAAACCCAAUAAAUCUAACAGCCAAAACGGAUGCAGCCAAGAACAAGCCAGCGGAAACCUAUUCAAAUAUCUGA
rnacentral:lncRNA from 1 species